AUUGAACGCUGGCGGCGUGCCUAACACAUGCAAGUCGAGCGGUAACAGGUGUAGCAAUACAUGCUGACGAGCGGCGAACGGGUGAGUAAUGCUUCGGAAUCUGCCCAUGUAGUGGGGAAUAACCAGCCGAAAGGUUGGCUAAUACCGCAUACGACCCUGUCACAAGGCAAAGUGAAGCAGGGAGUCGCAAGACCUUGCGCUAUUGGAUGAGCCGAAGUCGGAUUAGCUAGUUGGUAGGGUAACGGCCUACCAAGGCGACGAUCCGUAGCUGGUCUGAGAGGACGACCAGCCACACUGGGAC
rnacentral:rRNA from 1 species